rnacentral:lncRNA from 1 species
CAUAUUAUGUUUCCCUUUAGAGUAGAGUAGAGACUGUGUCUGUUGUUAAACUUUCUCUAAAAAAGCAGGGUUUUGGUUGGAAAUUUUACAUGUUUAAAAAUUGUUAAGUACUCGUUGUGUUUGGAAACAUUGCAUGUAUGAAAUGUGAAGAUGGAGAUGGAAGAAUGAAGCAGAGGUUGAGGCAGGGCACGGAAGACUUUUACUUUAUUUGGAUUAGGAUUUCAGUUGUAAUUGUAAUAAGUGAGAUUUUGCUUUGGAUAUAUCAAAUGGCUUCAUAUGGGAUGUUUGUUUGAUAUGUAUCAACUUUUAGCUUUAUUCAUAUUUAUCUUAAUUUUCUCAUCCUUCCUUUC